rnacentral:rRNA from 1 species
GACGGAGGGUGCUAGCGUUGUUCGGAAUGACUGGGCGUAAAGGGCGCGUAGGCGGCCUGUUAAGUCGAACGUGAAAUCCCCGGGCUCAACCCGGGAACUGCGUCCGAUACUGGCAGGCUUGAAUCCGGGAGAGGGAUGCGGAAUUCCAGGUGUAGCGGUGAAAUGCGUAGAUAUCUGGAGGAACACCGGUGGCAAAGGCGGCAUCCUGGACCGGCAUUGACGCUGAGGCGCGAAAGCGUGGGUAGCAAACAGG